rnacentral:rRNA from 1 species
GAUGAACGCUGACAGCAUGCUUAACACAUGCAAGUCCACCUGUUGCUGACGUGUGAGUAACGCGUAAAGAACUUGCCUCCCGGAUAGCCACCACAUUUGGAAACGAAUGCUAAUACCUGAUACUGUGAGAGAGUUUUGCGUCCCAUUAGCUAGUUGGAGAGGUAACGGCUCACCAAGGCGAUGAUGGGUAGCCGGCCUGGGAGGGUGAACGGCCACAAGGGGACUGGGACACAGCCCUUACGGAUACGGGGGGCAGGAGUGAGGAAUAUAGGACGAAGGACCAAAGGCUGAUCCGGCAAUUCGGUGUGAAAGAUGAAGUUUUGGGAAGGAAAAGUGCUUUCAGUAGAGAAGCGGUACCAACAGAAGAAGCGACGGCUAAAUACGUGCCAGCAGCCGCGGUAAUUC